UGGCUUCUUGCCUGACCUUUUACCUAUAUCCUCGGUUUGGUUAACCGUGGCUAACCCAAGGUGUAAACAAAACUAUAUGGCAUCAGUGAAAGAAUCAGUAGUACCCUGUAGGCUGUAUUUCUUUUCCUGACGGGGUGAGCUGAGCAGUGUUGGGUAUGGGGACAUGUCUCAUUUUUUACUCAUCUAUAACUUAUUUUGUAUUUUUGUCGAGGAUAAGUAUGCAUUUAGUUUGUUUUACAACUCACAAGUAUUAGUGCAAUCAUGUGAAGGAAAAAGAAAGGGAGGUGAGGGGUGUGAGUUGUGGGGUGGGGUGAGGGGUCUGGGGCCAAGGCUGGAGUCUGGAGGACCCCAGCACCCCAGCAGCUGAGGCUCAAGGGGAGGGGGACAUUCCGUGGGCGCUGGCCUCACCCAGUUAAGCAAGCCACUUAAUCUCCCCAUUUGGCAACUUUGUCCUCUGAACAGCAGGUGGGCUGUCGAGGACUCUCCCUCCUGCUCCUGGUGCCCUGGGCAGACCACCUGGGGCUGGUCAGAAAGGCAGCACCUCAGUCCCCACCAGAGGCCUGACGACCAGAGUCUGCAUUUUAACAAGAUCCAAGUGGUUGGUGCGGACAUUCAAGUUUGAGAAGCACCAGGCUGAAUGACAUGGAGGAUUUAGAACACCUAGUGGAGCGGGAGCAUGGACAAAGGUCAGCUCCCCCCUCUUCCCUUCCCUGAGCCUCCUCCCACACUCUCUUUGGGAAACUUUUUGCUCUGGAGAGAGGGAUUGGGUUAGGUUAGCAGGGGCUCACAUUCUGAUGGCGUUGCCUGUAUUCUGUUUCCUUAUGACCAUGACGUGGAAUAGACCACAAAGAUUCUUAUCCUGGUUCACAGAUGGAAGAAUGUGGCCCGAGGGAGUCCAGCAAUUGGUCCUAAGGUCAGAGUGAGCCCAAAGGGACACAGGACACAUGUGCAGAUGCCUGAGGCUUCGACCACCAAGCUAAGGGUUACCUUGGAACCCACCUCAUUCAAGAGGAUGGUCCAACUUGUUGUCAGAACCUGCAGGAAUCCCAGGCUGAGGUCCAAAAAUAUUCACGGAGGGUGCAGCCUGGCUGGAGUGAGUCAGCCUCUCCUUCUGAACAUCAGUUGCUGCUUCAGCUGCCCUUUGCAGCUUGGGCCUGGUGGUUGCCAGGACAAGGCGGCCCCUGGAAAUCACUGGGAUGAUCAGCAUGGUCUGGGGGUGGGGUUAAGGCCGGCCCAGUGCACCUGGCUAGGAAGGGCCUCUCUAUCCCCCUUCCCCUCCUCCUUGGGAAGCGAGGCUCUGGCCCCAGGCACAGUGGUACCCCAUGUAAGGAAGGGCGGGCCUGACUUACUGUAACUGCCUGGCCAAAAGCCUGAUUGUCGUGUGGUUGGGCAGGCCAGCCGGAGAGGGGCCCUGGUGUAGGGAGAGCUCCCAGUGUGAGAAGUGGAGGCAGAGUGUCGCUGUUUUCCCAGGGAGAAUCAGUAGGCCAGGUGGGGCUACCUAGAGAGUCACCCUUUCUCCCCUCGGUGGGGCAGGCCACUACUUCAAUGCCAGAUUAUUGUAAGAAAUCAAGCCUGGGGCCACCUGGGUGGCUCAGUCCAUUAAGUGUUGGUCUUGGGCUCAGGUCAGGAUCCUGGGGUCCUGGGAUUGAGCCCCGCAUCGGGCUCCCUGCUCAGCG
rnacentral:lncRNA from 1 species